UCCGGAGGGUGCGAGCGUUGUCCGGAAUCACUGGGCGUAAAGGGCGCGUAGGCGGCGCGAGCAGUCAACGGUGAAAGCCCGGAGCUCAACUCCGGGUCGGCCGUCGAUACUCUCGUGCUUGAGCACUGUAGAGGCAGGUGGAAUUCCGGGUGUAGCGGUGGAAUGCGUAGAGAUCCGGAAGAACACCGGUGGCGAAGGCGGCCUGCUGGGCAGUAGCUGACGCUGAUGCGCGACAGCGUGGGGAGCAAACAGG
rnacentral:rRNA from 1 species